rnacentral:lncRNA from 1 species
UACUUAUACCCUAUAAGUAUAACUAAAAUUCCUAAUAGCUAUCUCAAAAUUUCCUCAAACUAUCUCUGUCUUCUGAGAACAGUUUCUUCUGCUUGGCAUGCCAGGCCUAGUCUAACCUACUUUACUAUAAAUUAUUCACUAACUCCUUAACUCCCUAACUCCCUAAAAUAACAGACAGUCACCACUCCUUCACUCCUUCAAUCAGAUUUCUAUAGCAGCCCAACUGUCAGCAGCCAACUGCCAGCAGCCCCUUGCUUCAGAGACAGACUUCCUGCUCUCUAGAGAUCCCAGAGGCAAAAGACCCCUAACUGUCAGAGGCUGCUUCCUUUCUUCCCUCACUGCCCAACUGUCCCCCCUAACUUCCUGUCAGAGGGCAGGCUACUUCUUCUCCUCAGACCUGGUCUCCCUGGUAACAGAAUCUUCAGCUCUGGCUCACUGACUCCUAUCUGUUCUGAUCUACUUAGAAACCUUAUUCUCCAGUCUCUUUAGGAGACAGAGGGAGAGAUGAAGAAAAUCCCUUUAACAAUAUACUCCAAGAAGGCAGGUAACUGGCACAGUGAAUGGAACACUGAACCUAGAGGGAGAAUGACUCUUCUUGAGUUCAAAUCUGGCCUCCAACACUGUGUGCUUCCAGUUCUACAUAUACUGCAUACUACAAAACUAUAUAUGAAGUUACUAUUGCCCUUUGUGGUGAAAACACUGAUGAAUGAAUCAAAAGCAAGAGCUGGUAAAGGGAAUGAGACAAGCCUCUCAAGGGAUAAAUCCGUCUGACAUAGAACUUCAUGAAUGUAAUUAAGAAAGGUCUUGUAGGCUGUGAAGAAGAGGAAUUUUGAGUGACACUUUGACCAUUGAAGAUCCCUACACAUGACCUUACUGACACCAUACUGUAAAAAUUAUAAUUAUAUCUCAAUAAUAAAAAUAUUAUAGUUUAUAAAGUUUAUUAAGGA